GAUGAACGCUGGCGGCGUGCCUAAUACAUGCAAGUCGAGCGAACAGACGAGGAGCUUGCUCCUUUGACGUUAGCGGCGGACGGGUGAGUAACACGUAGGUAACCUAACUAUAAGACUGGGAUAACUUCGGGAAACCGGAGCUAAUACCGGAUAAUAUUUCGAACCGCAUGGUUCGAUAGUGAAAGAUGGCUUUGCUAUCACUUAUAGAUGGACCUGCGCCGUAUUAGCUAGUUGGUAAGGUAACGGCUUACCAAGGCAACGAUACGUAGCCGACCUGAGAGGGUGAUCGGCCACACUGGAACUGAGACACGGUCCAGACUCCUACGGGAGGCAGCAGUAGGGAAUCUUCCGCAAUGGGCGAAAGCCUGACGGAGCAACGCCGCGUGAGUGAUGAAGGUCUUCUGAUCGUAAAACUCUGUUAUUAGGGAAGAACAAACGUGUAAGUAACUGUGCACGUCUUGACGGUACCUAAUCAGAAAGCCACGGCUAACUACGUG
rnacentral:rRNA from 1 species